GUCCUCACAGGAGCAGCAGCACUAGCAGCGGCGGCGACGGAGACUAUAGAGCGUAGCCCCUCCCACUCGCCGGCUGCCCUCACGUACCCCCUCAGACAGACGCCCACCCGCCUUUUUCUUUUUUUAUUUCCCUUUCCCCCUCUUCCUUCGGCAGCGGUGGCUACUUCUUCGUCGGCCAGGCAGCUCCUCCUCUGACAGCAGCGACGUCUUCCCUCCCUUCGGCUUGCUCGCACUCUAAUGCCGCUUGCUACUAUUCCUCCUGCUGCCGCCGCUGCGGCCACUUGCUCGCGCACACAGCGGCUCUACUCACUGCUGAACCAAACGGACUUCCCUCGCGCUGACAAGCCCCUAAAGCUCCUCCCCGUUACUGUCACCCGCUCUAAUCACAUCUCCUUCGCCUCUGUCCCGCCCCUUUUCUAUCUCUCUCUCUCGGUUUAGAUUUUCUUCCUAAACGCUGACGACGACAUCCUCCUCCUCCGCACCUCCAUUUUGCAACGGAUGUCCUGUAUCCGCCAUCUCAGCAAUCUAAGUUGGUCACUGUGAUGUUCCUGCUUAUAUUGAUGGGUUUGCCUGGCAGUUCUAAAAAGAAGCAAAUGCAUACUCAGCGUAUACCUAACCCUCUCACAUCACACACAUCUCUGGUGCUGGUCUUCUGUCUGCUCCUACUCAUCCGCACCACAGGUGCCAGGAAUUGGAAGACCAUUGCAAGAUAGAUAACUAUCACAAUAAUAACAAAAAAAUCAUGCUCUGUGUUAGCUUACAAAAGAUGUCCCCACUCCCUCAAGAUGUCCACUUUCCUUCCAGAGCUUUGGUUUGAGUGCACAACUUGAAAAGACCUAAAGUACCUGUGACAGUGGGAAAAUGCCAUGGAGAAGGACCACAGCAGAGGAAUGAGUGCUCAGACUAGAAGAGAUUGUAAGAACAAAAAUACUUGGAUAGGUCUGUAUUGUGGGGAAUGAAGACAUAUUACCUAAGAGACGGAUGAAUAGCUUUGUGGGAAAGGGCUAAGCCUAGCAGCGGAACUGGAAUAUACAUUACAUUCUGGGUGGGAAACUUAUGGCCCUCCGGAGAUUGUUGAAAUACAACUCCCAUCAUCAGACUUACUACAUAAGGUCUGGAAAGACCCUGUGCUCUCUCUGAAAUCCUGGAGACCUGCUACCAGUCAGUUUAGAGGUAAUAUUGGACUACUGGUCUGACUCAGGUUAAGUUAGCUUCCAAUGUUUUUAUAACCCAAAUUUAAUAGUUGACAAUACCCAAUUAAAGUCUGUUUGUAAGUUGGUUUGAGUUCAUUUUUGAAAAA